UACGUAGGGGGCGAGCGUUAAUCGGAAUUACUGGGCGUAAAGCGUGCGCAGGCGGUUUUGUAAGCCAGAUGUGAAAUCCCCGGGCUCAACCUGGGAAUGGCAUUUGGGACUGCAAGGCUUGAGUGCGGCAGAGGAGACUGGAAUUCCUGGUGUAGCAGUGAAAUGCGUAGAUAUCAGGAGGAAUACCGAUGGCGAAGGCAGGUCUCUGGGCUGACACUGACGCUCAUGCACGAAAGCGUGGGGAGCAAACAGG
rnacentral:rRNA from 1 species